AGAUUUCUAUACUCUUUUAUAUGAAAAUGGAUUCCUUUUUCUGAAUUAGUGCACAAAUCUAGAGUGAUGAAAAGUGUUCCUGCUCAGGGGGAUGUUUUGACCAGCUUGCUACAGUUUACAGAGAAUUCUACCUUUACUUCAACCCAGAGGAAUUUAUUGGAGCAGGAACUCAACCAUUCUCUUAAUUCCAUUCAGAAUGCAGAAGCCAUUUUUGAUCCAAUCUUCGAUUUCUGGAUUCCGGGGGUUCUGCUAAAUAUUGUUGGGUUAUUAGUUUCCUGUGAAAGGCACCCAACCAUCACAUCACCAGUAUCCCUUUUUUAUCACCUCUUCAUGCCUGAUUUACAACGGU